GGGGAGGGCCGGGAGCCUAGAAUGUCAGAGCGAAUGUCAGGGCAUCCGGGCCCACUCCGCGCCUUACAGACGCAGACAGGGGCUUGGAGAGAGGAAGUCCCCAAGGCCACCUGGAGAGAGAGAGAGAAGCCGAGGCCAUGCAGCCAGAGGACAGGGCAGAGAUCGAAACACGAGGCUUCUGGAUCCAAUUCAGUAACCCUUCUGUUCCCCCACCAGCUUUCAGAAAAUGGUUCCUCCCUCCCCUUGCACUCCUCCUCCUCCCUCCCUCCCACCCUCCCUUCCUCCCUCUCCUCCUGCCCUUCCCCCCUUUCCACAAACAGUGGAGAACCUUCCGUGUGCCAGGUACUUCUCCGCGUUUAUUCCUUCAGCCACCAGGGGCCAUUUUAGGGGCGAGCAGAGGAACCAUACUGAGAGGCACACUGUCCCACAGUCCUGUGUCCGCGCUGGCCCUGUCUCCCAGGUGAGUGCACGGAAGACGGAUGCCUCGAUGGCAGGCCUGGGACAGAGGGGCCACAGAGGUUUAGCCGGGAGGAGCCCUCUGAGGACACUCCGGGGGCCCUGCCCCCCCACCCCUGUUAAUUGGAGAGGAGCCUCCGCCCCUCCUUCUCCCUCUCCCGCCUGGCCCCGCCCCCUGGGCUGCCGGCCAGCCCUUCCCAGGAUGGAGACGUCCGCCUGCCUGCCUGCCUGCCUGCCCGCCCCUGGCAGAUCCUGGGAGGAGCCACAACCCAGCCUGCACUAACUCAACUCAGGCUUAACUACCACGCAGAUCCCUGAGCCCGGGGCCUGUCGCUCAGCCAGCCAGCAGCUCCCCAGGGACCUGAGGUUCUGUAGCGGGGAGGCUGCUCCAAUGAGGGGCAGUGCCAGGCGUGUGGCGCCCGUCACCUCCACCCCACUGGGGCUGGCACAUGCCGGGAUGCCAGCUCCCGAUCUUGGCAAAGGGAAACAAAGUCGCUGCUGCUGAGUUAAUUGAGGAGGGAGGGAGGCAGGUGGGUGGGAGCUGGCUAGCGGAGCGGCCUUGAGUGCCAAAUGUCCAA
rnacentral:lncRNA from 1 species